CUAGAAGAUGACGAGCGGCGGAGGGAAGAGUAACGCGUAGGAAUCUGCCUAGUAGUGGGGGACAACAUGUGGAAACGCAUGCUAAUACCGCAUACGCCCUACGGGGGAAAGGAGGGGAUCUUCGGACCUUUCGCUAUUAGAUGAGCCUGCGUGAGAUUAGCUAGUUGGUGGGGUAAAGGCCUACCAAGGCGACGAUCUCUAGCUGGUCUGAGAGGAUGAUCAGCCACACUGGGACUGAGACACGGCCCAGACUCCUACGGGAGGCAGCAGUGGGGAAUAUUGGACAAUGGGCGCAAGCCUGAUCCAGCCAUGCCGCGUGUGUGAAGAAGGCCUUAGGGUUGUAAAGCACUUUCAGGAGUGAGGAAGGGUAUGCAGUUAAUACCUGUAUGUUUUGACGUUAACUCCAGAAGAAGCACCGGCUAACUCUGUGCCAGCAGCCGCGGUAAUACAGAGGGUGCGAGCGUUAAUCGGAAUUACUGGGCGUAAAGCGCGCGUAGGCGGUUUGUUAAGUCGGAUGUGAAAUCCCAGGGCUCAACCUUGGAAUGGCACCCGAUACUGGCAGGCUAGAGUACGGUAGAGGGGUGUGGAAUUUUCCUGUGUAGCGGUGAAAUGCGUAGAUAUAGGAAGGAACAUCAGUGGCGAAGGCGACACCCUGGACUCGAUACUGACGCUGAGGUGCGAAAGCGUGGGGAGCAAAC
rnacentral:rRNA from 1 species